CAGUGCCUUAUGUUAGAGAAUGUGAUGAGCUUUGCCUGUGGAGACAGGAUCCCAGGGAAAUGACAAUAACAAAAGAAAGAAGAAAGAAUAUGAGCUUCCUCCAGACAUCAUCAAAGAUCAUUGCCAAAGUUUUGAUGGGCUUUGAUUAAGGUAUCCUGGGACCUCAGCACAACCAACAAUAAAGAGAGAAGGAAGAAGACCCAGGACCAGGACAGGUAAAGGAAAACCAACCCAGCAGCAGGGCUGUUCCUGAGGGACAGUAGCUACAUUAACACAUAAACCUCCAUGUCAGAAAUGAAGAAGGAAUCUGCACGUUCAGACAAAAUAGACCUACUGCCCUCUAGAUACUUCCUUCAGCCUCUCAACUUAAGAUAAACUUUUGUGUCUUCAUUCUUAUCAUUUUUGUACCAAGAAAUACUGGACAUCCUUCAUCUCCAGCAGAUUAUAUUUCCAUCUGGCUCUGUCUGUCCUCUUUUAUGACUAGUCUCUUGAAAGUUUUUCUAAUUCAUCUAUGAACUCAAGGUCAAUCAUCAGUGAAAGCCUAGUCAUUAGAGAAACUUUAAUGUCAACCACUUCUGUAGACAUUCUUUUUGCGUUUUGCUCUAACAGGAAUCUGACUCUCUCCUGUGGACUCCGUUCCUUGAAAUCCAAAACUUAAAGUAUAAUAAUAAUAAAAUUAAAAAAAAAAGAAAGAAAUCAAGUCAAGCAGAAAUUGAGUUGAUUCUUCUAUCCCUUGUAUCUCUCAGCUUGGAGAAGUCCUUUUUACUCCACAUUGUCAUUCACAAACAACUGAUUAAAAGAGGGACAACAUGGUUUCACUGAGCAAACAUAGCCC
rnacentral:lncRNA from 10 species